AGUGGAUCCGAUCCGUCACAUCGAAUAGAUUCCCCUGUACAUUAAAGAACAGUGACUAUUAAGUUUCCGGGUAGAAGUAAGCUAACGACGAUAAGAUUCCCGAUCUCCUUCUCACUUGUAGGACCAUUAUACGGAUUGAAGUUGUUCUCGAGGUAGAGAGACCCGAACAUUCCUGCUCAAACCGUGCUGCCUUUCCGAUACCUGCUAGAAUAAUUGAUUCUCCUUCGUCAACCGAGACCAUUCGUGACAGUCAAACUGUUGACGGUGAGACUCAGUUAAAGAGGUGUGAUAUUCCAGCCCUCCUACAC